ACUGGUUACUGUAGUUUUUUAUACACAACUGGCGCACAACUGUAGCCUGUUAAUGUAAGUCAAUGGUUAUAGUUUUCCUUAAGACAGACUGUGAUAAUACUAGUAUUGUUUAGCACAGGAAUCUAUCUAUCUAUCUAGUCUAUCUAUCUAUCUAUCUAUCUAUAAGAAGAUAAAGGGGAGGAGGAGGAAGACAGAAACCUUUUGGGAAGUCCUACUGUGUAGUUGUUUUGAUCUGUAACUGCAAAGAUUUGCACGAGAAAUUCAUACAUGUUAAGGCUUGUUACAGGGAUUUUAUUGAAAAGCGUCAUGCUUUAUAACAAUCCAGGAAAGGCGUGUCUCUCAAUUAUAAUGUCACCUGAUCCCAUAAAAAUAUUGAUAUUUCGGUAGCAAUGGGAAUGAUCGGGCUACAAUUACACCAUAAAAGGAAUUAGCUUUUCUAAUUAUUUACCAAAAUUAAAAUCUGGAGACUCAGUUCUGCAGUAAAUACAUUAGUAAGAGAGUUUAUGUAUUAUGCAUGUUAUCACAUUAAUUGGAAAAGUGGACUAUUCUUGGAUUCCACCACUUGUUGACAGCACUUCUCUCAGAUCAGAGCUUUGAUUGUUGCCUGCGGUUCACGGGGGUUGCUAUUUCUUCUGGUUUCGCGCUGUUGGCAGCAGGCGCAGAAAAGCACAUGAGUCGCUGUCAUUCCGCGCAACAUUUUGCGGACGGGAGGAAUCUAGUGAGUACUUGUUGCGAGCCAUACGGCGGCGGCAGCGUCCCGAAGCUGUCAAACAUUGCGCACAGCCUUCAGUCUUUCAGUCAGUGGAGUAACCAGACUAAUCCAUCAGACAAACAACUCGGAAGAUUAACCUUUUUUAGCCUCGCGAAACUACUUUUCGUCUCCGCACCCGGAAGCCUGUUUUUAAAAUCAUGAUCAUUUUGUCACAUGGCUUUGGAGAAUUCAAUAACAACAAAAAAUGGCGACAAUCACGUUGCUCUGUGUGGUCUUGCUGCGUCAUUAAAAAUAUUCAUGUAAACACGGGGAAUUAAACGGGAAAAUUGCAGUUUUUGCACAUGUUGCUUUGCUGUCCACGUCUGACACGAACAUUUUUGGCCAGUGCCCUGUGCAGCGGGGCUAAUGGAGUUGUUUACACGAAGUGCGGAGGGCGGACUGACGAGGAGGAGGAGGAGCUGCUACGUCGGCCAGCGACGCGACCGGACUGCUCGAGAGGGUGCUCGAGCCGAGGGGGGCGGAGCCCGCGCGGAGGAUCAUAACAAGUCUGACGUCACUUGGCCUUGUGGUUGGUAUGAAUAAUAUACAGUAGGUAAAAAAAUACAAAAAACGGGAGCUUGCCUUUAGCAAAUCAGUAGACUGAAAACGAAGAAAUAAUAAUAACAGAAUAUCUCUGUAUUGAGAUUGCAAAAUAACCCUAAACAUGAACAUCUUGAUGAAACACAUACAGACUGAAAAGCAGACAUCUUCCUAUUAUUUUCUCAAGUUAAACAGUGUUGUGAUUCACCACAGGUUAUUCAGCUCAAAUGCUGCAUGUGCAUGGUUAGAAGUUGCAUGAGUUAGAGCUGCAGUGGUUAAUCAAUUGAUUGAUUAAUCAGUCAACAGGAAAUUUACUGGCAACAGUUUUGAUAUUCAAUGAAUCAUUUCAGUUGUUUUUCGAGCAAAAAUGUCAAAUAUUUUCAGAUUUCAGGUUCUCAGAUGUGAGGAUUUGCUGCUGCUUUUUCUUAUAUUACAAGAAAAAGAAUAUCUAAGUUUUGGUUGGACACAAGUACAUUGAAGGCUUUUAGAAAAUGUAAAUGGAACUUUCUUACUACUUUCUUAAAAAUCUUGUGGACUAGAUGAUCAAAAAUAUUGGCAGAUUAGUAGAUUAUGAAAAAUAAUCAUUAGUUGUGGCCCUGUAGUUGUACCCUUACAACAACAAUCAUUUUGUUUUACAGCAUUUAAGCCCUAUGUCAAAUGGAUUUCCAUGUAUGGUUCACAGCAUUGGACAAGUAGUUACUGUUUUUGUGCAACACCCAUUUAAGUGGGCCAUAAGAAAAAGUCUACAACACAGCUGUGUAACAGUACCAACUGUUAAAAGCUAUCAACAACAUUCAUAAACACAUUUUCACCAUAUUUGGACAACAGAGUCUAGCUUCUCCAAGACAGAAUAAAUAAUUGUACCACUUUGGCUGUGCAAGAAACAGAACCUAUCAUACCUCAAAGGCCUAAAUGUAUUGAUAAAAUCCCUUUUUAAUGUCCUGUUUUAAGUACAUGUGGGAACUUAUUUGUAUAAUAUAGAUACUUACUGUUGAGCCACUUUCGCCAAACUAGAAAUUUCUGACACUAAGAGUAGAAUAUAGUGUAACGGAAACUCAGAUAAUGACGAUUCUUGAGCCCAUAGCAGUGCAAGGACUGAUUUAAUGAUCACUACUUUUCCCUUGUUCCUUGUGCACUUCUCACAUCCGCUUAACAUUUACCAUUCCUAAACAAACUGAAAUAUAUUGUAUGUGUUGUACCUUUUUCAGUUUUACUUUGUUAGUUUAUCCUCUAAUGGUCUUAUGAUAUUUUACUCAAAAUGUUAUGAGGGCAAAAGAUUUGUUGGUGACUAUUGUGGGGAAGGAUAUUUAAGAAAAACAAAAGCAAAAAACACAAAUAUAUUCAAGUGAUGGAUUGUUAGGUUACAGUAAUCUGUUGUAGUUUUAGCUACUGUGUGUUACCUGAAAAGUAUUCAUAUGGAAACAGAUGAAGUAGAUAGAACUUGCACAUGUUUUUUUAUGAGAUACCACCAGAUGAACUGCAAAUGCAAAAGAAAAACUUUGUUAUCUUUGCACCUGUUGACCUAGAGCAUGGAUAUUAUGGGUGGAUGACGAACGGAGUGAAGCCGCGGGCUGCUAGAUUUGACAGGCUGCCCUGGUUCAGUUAUCACAGUGCUGAUGCUGUCCCCAUCGAAGGUACAGUACUGUGAUAACUGAAGGAUGGCUGCCAACUUGACGCUAGUGCAGUGGAGCGAAGCACAUUCAGCUAAUGAGCCAGAGGACCUAAGAGAAGGCUGACAAGUGUGAGUAUGUGAUUAAAAAAAUACUUGUGGUAUGGCAGCUCUGUCAGCCUGUUCUUGUGUAUUUAAGUGUAAGAAACAAGGAACUCAAAACCUGUACAUUAGUAUUAUCUUAUUACUCAUGUAACUUCUGCCAAACUAUGAGAAAUAAAGUGAAUUUUUUUAA